rnacentral:rRNA from 1 species
UGCGGAGGAUCAUUAACGAGAUUGAGGGUUCCUCCUUUGGGGGGCCUGGUUCUCCGUCCUCGUGUCAUACCCUUUGCGGACAUCGAAGCCGGCUAUGGCGGAGAUGGACGUACGCAACAGGUUCGGUGGAGGAGAUGUGUUGCUCUGCUCCGGCCCUUAGGGGAAGGCGAGGAGGAAGACGUCCGCCAUCGUAGUAAAACUUGCAAGGAUUGUGAAGUCUGGUGAAGUGAUAUGAAAUAUAUAAAACUUUCAACAACGGAUCUCUUGGCUCUGGCAACGAUGAAGAACGCAGCGAAAUGCGAUAAGUAAUGCGAAUUGCAGAAUCCGUGAAUCAUCUAAUCUUUGAACGCACAUUGCACCUUCUGGUAUUCCGGAAGGUACGCCUGUUCGAGCGCCAUUACACACUCCAAGCUGUGCUUGAUGUUGGACUGGGUCGGGGAACCGACCGGUCUGAAACGCGUUGGCGUCGGCCGCCGACCAUGAGCGUUGCAAACACAACUGUUCGCUCUGUUGGAUUGACGGCCCGGCCCGCCUUGCCGACGAGGGACCCUGUUCGGGCCUCGAGCCGGUGAUAGUUUGUGUCUUCUGGACGCACUACGGAACCUUUGGCCUCGGAUCAGGCGGGGAUACCCGCUGAACUUAAGCAUAUCAAUAAGCGGAGGAAAAGAAACCAACAGGGAUUGCCUCAGUAACGGCGAGUGAAGCGGCAACAGCUCAAAUUUGAAAUCUGACGCCUUGGGCGUCCGAGUUGUAAUUUGCAGAGGGAGCCUCGGGUGGAGUACCGGUCCAAGUGCCUUGGAAUAGGAUGCCGCAGAGGGUGAGAGCCCCGUAUCCGGCCGGUGACAUCCCCUGUGUGAGGCCUCUUCGACGAGUCGAGUUGUUUGGGAAUGCAGCUCUAAAUGGGUGGUAAAUUCCAUCUAAAGCUAAAUACCGGCCAGAGACCGAUAGCGCACAAGUAGAGUGAUCGAAAGAUGAAAAGCACUUUGAAAAGAGAGUCAAACAGUACGUGAAAUUGUUGAAAGGGAAGCGUAUGAGGCCAGACUUGCGCGCGGAGGCUCCGCUCGUCUUCUGACGGACGUACUCCCCUGCGUUCAGGCCAGCAUCGGUUUCGGCGGAUGGAGAAAGGCGGUGGGAACGUGGCCUGCUUCGGGAGGUGUUAUAGCCCGCCGUAGAAUGCGUCCAGCCGGGACCGAGGACCGCGU